GGGGGUGCCUGGGUUCGACCGUGACGGAUCGAUCCAGGGGAAGCGAGCCGGAGUUCGCGGGGCUUCGUACCAAACCGCGAAAAACACAAGCGCCAAGCCUAACUACGCGCUCGCAGCCUAAGGUUUCUUAGGCAGCCGUCCGCCGCUCCUUGCCUGUGGGAGCGGGUCGGGCGUCGAUAGCAGGCUCACCUGAGGCGGGAUGCCAGCGCCCGCCUCGGGAACACCUCAGCUGGCUAGGACCCGGGAGCGUCGCCACCGGACAGCCCGGGUCCGAAGCUCAACCGGCGGCUGCGCUCGGAGAAGCCCUGGAACGACGCCGCGGGACGGGAGUUCGAGUCUCCCCACCUCCACCA
rnacentral:tmRNA from 1 species